CUUUUAAGACCUAGUAAUAGGUAUGCUUUAGGAGGGGCUUGCGCCAUAUUAGUUAGUUGGUAGGGUAAUGGCCUACCAAGACGAUGAUGUGUAGCUGGACUGAGAGGUUGAACAGCCACAUUGGGACUGAGACACGGCCCAAACUCCUACGGGAGGCAGCAGUAGGGAAUUUUCGGCAAUGGAGGAAACUCUGACCGAGCAACGCCGCGUGAAUGACGAAGUACUUCGGUAUGUAAAGUUCUUUUAUCAAGGAAGAAAAGCAAAUGGCGAACCAUUUGUUUGCCGGUACUUGAUGAAUAAGCCCCGGCUAAUUAUGUGCCAGCAGCCGCGGUAAGACAUAAGGGGCAAGUGUUAUCCGGAAUUAUUGGGCGUAAAGGGUGCGUAGGCGGUCUAGUAAGUCAGUGGUGUAAUGGCAACGCUUAACGUUGUCCGGCUAUUGAAACUGCUAAACUUGAGUUAGAUAGAGGCGAGUGGAAUUCCAUGUGUAGCGGUAAAAUGCGUAAAUAUAUGGAGGAACACCAGAGGCGUAGGCGGCUCGCUGGGUCUUAACUGACGCUGAGGCACGAAAGCGUGGGGAGCAAACAGGAUUAGAUACCCUGGUAGUCCACGCCGUAAACGAUGAGUACUAAGUGUCGGGUUAAACCGGUACUGAAGUUAACACAUUAAGUACUCCGCCUGAGUAGUACGUUACGCAAGUAUGAAACUUAAAGGAAUUGACGGGACUCCGCACAAGCGGUGGAUCAUGUUGUUUAAUUCGAAGAUACCCGAAAAACCUUACCAGGUCUUGACAUGUUUUUGCAAAAUGAUAGUAAUAUCGUGGAGGUUACCAGAAACACAGGUGGUGCAUGGUUGUCGUCAGCUCGUGUCGUGAGAUGUUAGGUUAAGUCCUAAAACGAGCGAAACCCUUAUCGUUAGUUGCCAGCACGUUAUGGUGGGGACUUUAACGAGACUGCCAAUGAUAAAUUGGAGGAAGGUGAGGAUCACGUCAAAUCAGCAUGCCCCUUAUGACCUGGGCUACAAACGUGAUACAAUGGCUGUUACAAAGGGUAGCUGAAACGCAAGUUCUUGGCCAAUCCCCAAAAACAGUCCCAGUCCGGAUUGAAGUCUGCAACUCGACUUCAUGAAGUUGGAAUCGCUAGUAAUCGCGAAUCAGC
rnacentral:rRNA from 1 species